GAUGUAUAUAUAAUCAAACAUAAAUUUGGACUAGCACUAAUUAAAUAGUCGUUAUUACAUCCAUGAAACUGAAGAUGGAAGAAGAAACUUGAACCACAUGUAAAUUAAAGCUGCAAAAGCAAAACCCCAAUGAAGAACAAGAAGGCAAAAAAAUUAGUUUCAGUUUUCAAAAUUGUUGAAGAUCCUCCAGUUUCAUUUCCACUUUGUCCAGCACUAGCAGAAGAAGAAGUAGCAUUUGUUUUAUUAUCAGCCGAAGUAGCCAAAUCUAAAAUCCCUUUAGAUUUCAAAUUAUCAGGUUCAAACUUAUGUAUCGCGGGCCUUCCAUCAGUUACCGCUGAUCCAACCUGCCAUACCUGAUUCACUGUCUUCGUAUUGGCCGGCAACUCCAGAGUAGCAAAGAUUUUCAUCAUCCCAUCAGCUGACUCUGCUUUUGAAUCGACAACAUUGUACAUAAGUUUAGACUCUGUUAUUGAUUUAUAAGAAGUAAGAUUGUAGGUCUUAACAGUCAUAACCCCUUUAGAAUCUUUGAAUGCAAUUAGUGAUUGUGUUCCAAUCAUAGCUGGUGCAACGGGGUUAAUUCCCCAAGCAAUCCAGCCAUCAGGUGAAGCUGGAGAUGCGAGGAAAGCGACAGAAAGAGUGGAUUUAGCCGGAUCAAAUGUCCAAUGAAGGAAUGAUUUGAGAGAAGGUAGAUCAGUGCAAUUGGUGAAACGAGUGUUGGAUGAGAAAGUUUGAGAAGAACAUGUGAGAGAUGUGGAAGGGGAGAUAUGGAAGAGAAGAACAAGUAAAAAGGUGAAGAGAAGGUUAAAAAAAUGAGAUGCCAUUUUUUAGGAGCGUUGAGAGAAAGAGAAGCGCGGAAACAUAAAGUACCAAAAGCUGUGAAGAAGAAGAAGAAAAAGUUGGCCAAGGCCAAGAAGUAUAGGUAAAAUCAUCUGCAGUAUAAAAGAAAGUUUUGUUUUGAGGUUUAUAUUGUGUAGAAAGGAUGUUAAAGUUAAUAGUUUUUAGUUAAAAUUAUGCAAAACUGAGUGAGGGGUCUGCAAAGUCAACACAUUUUUCGCGUAAAUUACAACUUUCAACAAUUUUG
rnacentral:misc_RNA from 1 species